AUGCGCAUGUAAGUUAUACCCUUAUUAAUUAUCCACUUUUAUUAUAUAUUUUUGCGCGUUACCUAACAUAAUUUUUAAAUUUGUUGCAGAAUCAAAUGCUGGAACUCCAAUCCCAGCCUACCCCAGAGGGUAGUCAGCCACUCUCUGAGGAUGAGAUAUGCGAUCAGGUGUUGGGUAGACGACCAGGCUACUCAAAAAGCCUUGGUUGGGGACCCAUGCCGAAGGCCCGCAGAACGGCAAGUGCAAGCAGUUCGUCGACAUCUUGUUCGCAAUCCACACAAAAAGAGAUUGAAUUACAAGCUAAACUUCAUGAAGCUUUGGAACGGAUUGAAGUACAAGAUAGAAAUCACCAAGCAUUAGCUUCACAAGUGGAAGCUAUGAAAAAGAUGAUUGAAGACCUAACUCGUGCACAACAGGGACCACCACAUGAUCCCUAGCUCUGCGGACCGAAGGUGUAGAAUGACGCGCAUACGCACCUCGUUGGGAGAUUUUUCAUUAUGUUUAUGUUUUUUCUAUUUUGAGAACUAUAUUUUGUUGUAGUCAACUUAUUCGUAUUAUUAAUUUUAAUUCUAUUUUUUUAAUUUGUGUU